rnacentral:rRNA from 1 species
CAAGGCUGAGGCGUGAUGACGAGGCACUACGGUGCUGAAGCAACAAAUGCCCUGCUUCCAGGAAAAGCCUCUAAGCAUCAGGUAACAUCAAAUCGUACCCCAAACCGACACAGGUGGUCAGGUAGAGAAUACCAAGGCGCUUGAGAGAACUCGGGUGAAGGAACUAGGCAAAAUGGUGCCGUAACUUCGGGAGAAGGCACGCUGAUAUGUAGGUGAAGUCCCUCGCGGAUGGAGCUGAAAUCAGUCGAAGAUACCAGCUGGCUGCAACUGUUUAUUAAAAACACAGCACUGUGCAAACACGAAAGUGGACGUAUACGGUGUGACGCCUGCCCGGUGCCGGAAGGUUAAUUGAUGGGGUUAGCGCAAGCGAAGCUCUUGAUCGAAGCCCCGGUAAACG